AGUUGUUCUGACUCAGCUUCUAGUAACAUGCCCUGAAGACAUAGUACCAUUCCUGUUUCUAAAUGUGCAUGAAAUUGUAUUUUUAUUUCAAUACCAAUACACAAAUACAUUAAGUUAGUGGCCACUAAUGAAAGGUUUAAGCGUACUCAUUGUGUGUGAAGUUCACCUGAAAUGCAUGGCCUGAUUUGGUGGGCCGGGUAAUGACCUAUUUGCUGUUUCUGCUUAAGCAGAGGCGUUGUGAAUGUGGAGAUGCUUUACAGGUCUCUCUGCUUAUGAGCAGACAUCUUUCUCUCUAUUUUUUUUUUUCUUUUACUUCUUUUUUCCCCCCUCUUAAAGACAUAAGAUGAAUUAUUGAAAGCUUCAAGGUUUGGUAAAGCCUGUGAAUUUCAAGCACCGUUUCCAUCUUUGUCAACUUCAGAGGGCUCUCACGCAAGCGCCCUCGUGGGUCGGUGUAACUUAACACUUUUAUUCUUCCUCUGUGUGGUGCUCGGUCUGAGGACUGAGGAGAGUACCUGCUCCCUGACCCCUGUGUUCAAAACUCAACUAGGCUGGGUGUGUGUGUGUGUGUGGGGGGGGGUCUCUCUUUCUGGUGAAAAGAAAGGCUGGGGAAAAAAGCCCUGGUGAUGUUUAUGUGCUGUCUCUGUCAUACCUCACAGAGCACAGUAUCAGCAGUGGAAGUACAGCCUCCAAUCGGUGCCAUAAUUCCAUGUAUGAAAGAGGGUUUAGGGGUUUUUUUUAUGGUGGAGGGUUUCAAAGAGGCUCUUGCAAGCGUUGCUUCACACAUUAGAAUAUUGAAAGCGUGUUGGAGGGUAGUGUUCUGUAACUCAUGGUAUUGGUGCUCACGUGCACCGAGGCUUCGCUUGCCUGCUCUCGGCCGUUAAGCCUGAAUAUGGAGUUAUAAUUGAGAAGCCAUGUACGCCGCUGUCUGCUCCCCAACCAAUGAAAUGCUGUCAGUAUUUCACCCCGCAUCUGACUCCUUUGUCUGCGUGGCCUUAAAAGCAUG
ensembl:lncRNA